GACGAACGCUGGCGGCGUGCCUAAUACAUGCAAGUAGAACGCACAGUUUAUACCGUAGCUUGCUACACCAUAAACUGUGAGUUGCGAACGGGUGAGUAACGCGUAGGUAACCUGCCUGGUAGCGGGGGAUAACUAUUGGCAACGAUAGCUAAUACCGCAUAAUAUUAAUUAUUGCAUGAUAAUUGAUUGAAAGCUGCAAUUGCAUCACUACCAGAUGGACCUGCGUUGUAUUAGCUAGUAGGUGAGGUAACGGCUCACCUAGGCGACGAUACAUAGCCGAGCUGAGAGGGUGAUCGGCCACAAUGGGACUGGGACACGGCGCAGACUCCUACGGGAGGCAGCAGGAGGGAAUCUUCGGCAAUGGACGAAAGUCUGACCGAGCAACGCCGCGUGAGUGAAGAAGGGUUUCGGAUCGUAAAGCUCUGUUGUAAGAGAAGAACGGGUGUGAGAGUGGAAAGUUCACACUGUGACGGUAGCUUACCAGAAAGGGACGGCUAACUACGUG
rnacentral:rRNA from 1 species